CGCGCAGACAGUAGUGGCGGCCGGAGCAGGAGCUUUCGUAACCAUGGAAGGGCAGGCGGCCGGGCAGCGGGUCCACGCACCCGCAUCUGGGAGUGAUCUGCGGCAGCGGCUGGUUCCGUGACAAUAUGGCAGGGACAAACCUCUUCUAAGGAGCUAUCCAGGGUUCUGAACUUUCUCCCCUGAAGACCUUGGAGGAGAAAGGUCUCCUUGGACAAGAGCCUUGCCUGCUGGUUAAUGCCAACCUUAAACGCUAUUGGCUCAUCUCCUCCUAUUGCUGAUACCAUCCAUGGCCCACAUGGCCUGAAGUAGCUCCACUCUCUAAGGCUGCAGUCUGGGCUUCAUACCAGCAUCCUGGCUCCUUGGCCAUAUUUUCAGCAAGAGUCCUGUGUGAUGGUGUGCACCUGCAGUCCCAGCUACUUGGGAGGCUGAGGCCAGAGGAUCCCUGGAGCCCAAGAGUUUGAGGCUACAGUGAGCUAUGAUCGUGCCACUGCAUUCCAGCCUGGGAGACAGAGAGAGACUUUGUUUCUAAAUAAAUAAAUAAACAGAAAUUAUGAGCCCUAUCUCCUGUAUAAGCAUGAUAUAGUGAAAAGAGCAUGAUUUUGACUAUUUGUUUCCCCAAAUGAAAAAAAAAAGUCAAAGAAAAAGGUAAUAUUGGUUUGUCAUAACAAAUUCAAACACAUAGAGCCAAAUAGAGAACGUGAAGUUCUCCUGUAAUUCAGAACUACUGCGAAUUUAUUUUAUACUUCUAGACUUUUAAAAUAUGUAAUAUAUAUAUUUAAAUACAGAUGGAAUUAGAUUAUUCAUCUUCUGUAUGUAUUUUAUGAUGGUAACUUUAUGUUAUGCACAUUUCACCACAAUAAAAAAUAUAUAUCAUGAACAUCUUUUCACAUUAAUUCAUAUUAGAUUUAUAUGCUUCUUUCAAAGGCUGCCUAUAUGUAUGCUGUGGGAUGGAUGUACCAUGAUUUAUUAAAUCAGUCCCCAAUGAGGUUUAGGUUGUUUGCUUUUGUCUCUAUUAUAAUGUUACAGCUACUAUAACUAUUAUAAUGUUAUAUUAUAAAAUUAUGUUUAUAACUAUUAUAAUGUCUUAUAAAAGAAAGUCUUUGUACAUUUGUCUAUUCCUUUAGUUUAACAAAUUCCUAAACCAAAAUAUUUGUACCCCUGUAAUAUGCUGAAAUUAAAAAAGGAGGGGCAUAUACUUACAUGUUGAUUUGUCAUAAUGAAUGACAUUACAUUAGAAUUAAA